rnacentral:rRNA from 1 species
AGUCGUACGCUUCUUUUUCCACCGGAGCUUGCUCCACCGGAAAAAGAAGAGUGGCGAACGGGUGAGUAACACGUGGGUAACCUGCCCAUCAGAAGGGGAUAACACUUGGAAACAGGUGCUAAUACCGUAUAACAAUCGAAACCGCAUGGUUUUGAUUUGAAAGGCGCUUUCGGGUGUCGCUGAUGGAUGGACCCGCGGUGCAUUAGCUAGUUGGUGAGGUAACGGCUCACCAAGGCCACGAUGCAUAGCCGACCUGAGAGGGUGAUCGGCCACAUUGGGACUGAGACACGGCCCAAACUCCUACGGGAGGCAGCAGUAGGGAAUCUUCGGCAAUGGACGAAAGUCUGACCGAGCAACGCCGCGUGAGUGAAGAAGGUUUUCGGAUCGUAAAACUCUGUUGUUAGAGAAGAACAAGGAUGAGAGUAACUGUUCAUCCCUUGACGGUAUCUAACCAGAAAGCCACGGCUAACUACGUGCCAACAGCCGCGGUAAUACGUAGGUGGCAAGCGUUGUCCGGAUUUAUUGGGCGUAAAGCGAGCGCAGGCGGUUUCUUAAGUCUGAUGUGAAAGCCCCCGGCUCAACCGGGGAGGGUCAUUGGAAACUGGGAGACUUGAGUGCAGAAGAGGAGAGUGGAAUUCCAUGUGUAGCGGUGAAAUGCGUAGAUAUAUGGAGGAACACCAGUGGCGAAGGCGGCUCUCUGGUCUGUAACUGACGCUGAGGCUCGAAAGCGUGGGGAGCAAACAGGAUUAGAUACCCUGGUAGUCCACGCCGUAAACGAUGAGUGCUAAGUGUUG